rnacentral:lncRNA from 1 species
UGAAAAAUGCCUGAGUUGGAGUUAGCUAAAUGGAGGUGUGGUUGAGUGAGAGGGGCCAUGAUUAGCAAAAGAAAGAGCUUGAGCCAAGAGGUGAAAGCAAGAAAGUGUAUCCUGAAGGACAUAGAAGGGACAAGAGGCAGGAAGGCUUUCUCUGGUAUCCUAAAGAGUUUGGGCUUGACCCUGGAUGGAGAACUGCUAGGAGAAUUUGGGUAAGGCAAAGACACAACUAUUACAUUUUAGAAAAAAAUGAUACCACUGGCAAUACAGAAAAUGUAUCAAAGUUGAAGCCACUGGGUACAUCAUGGUUCAAGUCGCUGAGAAUGAGAACUGAUAGAGACCUAAGGGGGUGGCAAGUAGAGGGGAAUUCAUGAUGAACUCAGUUUGGAAUAUGUUGAAUUCACAUAUUCAGAGAAAUGUUUAGGGUAGUGGGGAAGACAAGAUUUGGGCAUAAGAGAGAGAAGAAAAAUUUGAGAGGUUGAGAUUGUGCAGUGCUUUAUCAUAGCAUGUAUGAUCUCUUGACACAUUCUUUAUUUCAUGUCUUCCCUGACUAGAAAUAAACUUCACGAGGGUGAGAACUUUGCUUUAUUUCCACCAUCUAGAACUGUGCCUGAACCACAGGGAGCACUCAGGAAAAAUUUACUGAAAAGAUGAAUUAUUCAGAAUUGUAGUUGAAAAGGUGUCUUCAGAGGAGUUUACUUACAUGCAGUGGACAUGAAAUAGGGCAUAGAGUGAAACCGUAGGCAAAACAUUGGGUGGAUAAUGUCAUUUGAUGCCAAAAAAGAAGCACUGAGGAAUUAGGAAAAACAAGAGAUAAUGAGGUCCCAGGUGACAAUGGAAGCAGUUGUGGAAAACUGCUUUAAAUGUCAUAGAGCACUCAGAAGGAAUUCAUAAAUGACCUCAUAAAGAAGUCCACUGUGGUUUCCCUGCAGAGGUGGGAAUAGAAUCAGAGUGCUAAGGAUUGAGGGAUUAAGAGGAGGUGAUUGUAUUAUUCCUCUUUUCAGAUAAUGGAGAGAGAGAAGAGAACAGCAGUAGCCGUUGCCAGAAAUAUUGAGCAAGGCGGAUUUAUUAGAUGAAGAUAUCAAAAUACUUUCCAUUGAGGAAACAGGUUGGAGGUGGGAGGCUGUAACCAUGCUUGAUUUUGUACCACCCUAACCUUUGCUUGUAAGUAUACUUUUUGAAAACCCAUUUUAUUGAACUGAAAUGUAUUUUGUUCUGAAGGGUUGAAAAAGGCUAAAGAAGUGGGAAGGAAUUUUUGUUAAACCUUAUACAAUAAGGGAAAAUUUUCCAGCAACAUGGAAAGACAUCAGAAUUGAAAUCCUAGUGAACUACUAACUAUGUGAAAUGGACAAGUGGCUUAUUAUUCCAAUUUUACAGAAAAGAAAAAUGAGACAUAAAUGUUAACAUCUAUGUGUAUGAUGAUUACGUGAGAUAAAUUUGGGUCUCUAUUUUGAGUGUUUUGUGGGCAGGAAUGGAUUAGGACUUUCUAAAAUAUUAAAUGGGCCAAUCUAAAUAUGUGAUCAAAAUUUUUCAGAGGUAUAUUUUGUGGUAUUUACAGCAAGAUGAGAAUGUAUUUUAAAUUGAUCUUUGAUCAUAUUUUUAUCUUUUAAACAUGUUCUGCCUCAUUUUCUCUGUAAUAAUAACUAUAAUUAUAUCCAUUCCUCAUUAUAAAGCUGCUCUUUUUUCUUUUCUGACAUUCUGCCUUCAUCGACUAAUGGUGGUGAGGCUACUACCUCCUGAGGUUACUUAUAAAAUUAAAGCGAUUGGGAAGGAAUGUUACAUGCAGUCCACAUUGUAUGUGAUACCGAGAGGAGACAGGAGGGCAGAGUCCCUGAUGAGAGCUCCACCCUUAAGCCUGGACCCGUGGCCCUGAAUGAGAACAGGCAUUGCUGCUUUCCUGCCCAAAGGCUGCUUUUUCCAAAACCACCGUGGCCCACCAUGUCCCCUAUCCUGUACCUAUAAAAACCCCAAACUCCACUGGCAGAGGAAUAGAGUGGCACAGCAGAGAAGGAAAGAAUAGAAGUGUCUGAAUGUCAAAGAGGGAGCUGGACAGUCAGAGAGGAGUUUGGCUGGGGACAGCUGAGCUCCAGGGGAAGAUCAUCUUCCCACUCCAUCCCCUUUCCAGCCCCCCAACCCACAAAGAGCCACCUCCAUCAUUCAGUAAAACCUCUGCAUUCACCAUCCUUCAAGUCCAUGUGACCUGAUUCUUCUUGUACUCUGGACAAAAAUCCAGGUUCCAAGAGGGCAGGGUAUAUGUCACCCUGAUUCUCCACGGGACUGUUUAACACUUAGCCCUCUGUGGACAGCAACUGCUAAAAGAGCAUUAAUUGUAACACAUGCCCUCUGGGGCUCCAGAGGUUGUGCGCAACUGCUAGAUGCUGCCCCUGGCGCCCAAAGGCACUAGCCCUGGUUCCCAUACCCACUUACCUGCAUGCUCCCACUCCUGCAAGGGGCUUGAGUUCAGCAACAAAGCAAAACAAGCUACCACCAACCCUCCACACCCUCCCUGUGGCAAGACUCGCAAGAGGGUCAGGGAACUCUCCCCCGUCAUAUGCGUUAUUCCAGUUUAGUUACCUACAAAAUAAACUUGCCAGAAUUAGUGUUUACUACAUAAGCUAAGCACCUAUUUCAACAUGUGUGAGCUUCUAAAAAGCAAAUCAAUGCUCUUCUGUCCAAUUUUGGCCAAGGCUUCAUGAUCUCUUUCCUUAAAACAUCAACUUAAAUUUUACCAUUACUUUUCUCUCUUCCUUCCCCUUAUCCUAUUUAACUAUUAUUAGAGACAUUUUAAAAAAAUUCCUUUCCUUUUCCAUGCUUGGUUUCCUCAAUAGCGAUUUUAUAUAGAAAACAUUUGACAUUAUAGUCUAGCUUUUCAUAGUUAAAAUUAAAUAUUUCAUUAAAAAGAGGAGUCUAUUUUUUCAGACUUGUAGGGCUCUGGGAAGUGGACUUAUGAAAAAAAUGACUUUGUAUUUAUUUACAGAUAAAUAACCAUGUGUCUGUAAUUAGUAAGAGAUCCACUGUAUGUAAUUUAUCUUUUUCUUAUGUGUUACCUGUUAAAGAUGACCUUGUGUUUCCCGACAUGCUGUCAAGUGAAAGAUUUUGUAAGAAUCCUUCUAUAUUCCUACAUUAUUUUAUUGCAUUGCUCAUCAAUUUUGCAUUUUCUCCCUCUCUUAUGAUCCUAGCCUUUCCUUUAUUAGAAGUAAUUAUCUAGUUCAUAGAAAAUUGUUUAAUUUGGUUAUUUUCAUUACUUCAAAGAGAAAUUCUAAUGUAGAACGAUUUGUUUAUAUAUCUCUUGCAGACUCAAAAUACACACCACUAUUAUAAAAACCUUCCCUGCCUAGCUCAUAUUUCCCCCGACUCCUACCCCAUGGUUCCCUAGCUUAUUGAAUGUACUCAUAGCAUCUCUUUUAGUCUGUAUUGCUAUCAUGUGUUUUUCUAAUCUGUUCCCCAUAGUAACAGUGAAAUCCUUGAGGGCACGAGUCUUAUCUUUUUCAACUCUAUUUUCAGCACCUCGCAUUGUGAGUUGGUGUAAGUAGUUCAGUAAAUAACUGUAGAUGUCAAAAUAAAUAAAUGUCAGCUAAUUUUUAUGUAUAUUCAAAGAUAAAAUUUUAUUUAUUGUCAUAAUUACCUUUACCCAAUCUAUUUUUUAUUGUUUGUUUCAAAUUACACCAAUAAAAAUGUGACAAUAACCAUGCUCAUCCUUAGACUAACACCAAUGUUUAGAAGCAGUUUCACCAUAUAGUUCCAUUUUUAAAAAAUUCUAAAUAUUUGCUAUAUUCUUUAAUUGAGUCUUCCCAAAGCAAUCUUUGAACUAAUUGUUGGUUUCUCAGAUUUCUAUUUUGUUAUCUUUAAGACACUCUUUAAAUCUCAUCAAAAAUCUUCAUGGAAAUUAAUUACAUUGUACCCAAACGUUAUAAAAUCUUACCAUUUAAAGAUACUUUAGAGUUCAUUUGAACUAUUCUUCAAAGAAUUAGCAAUGAAGUUCUUUUGGAUUGAUUGAUAUUCAUGUACCCAAGAAAGAUAGGUAGAAUAUUAAUUCAUUUUAUUAUUUCCAAAGAGAAGGUGUGAAAAUAAACUAGAACACAGUUGAGUUGGCAGAACUGAGUUUGUGUUUACAAAACUGAAAAGGCUGGACCACAAUGUGGUUUACUGGUGAUAUAUUAAUUUAGAUAACAAUUAAAUCUCGGAGACUUACCAUAUUGAAAGUUUAUUUUUUGGUUUACACAAAUCUGAUAUACUGGAUAGGGGCUUUUCUCCUUUCAUUUACUCAAGGAUCCAGGUUCCAGUCCAAUAUGCACCAUUCAGCCUGGUUGCAGCAUGUUAAGCAGCCCUGGAGGCAGCAGAUGAGGGAUCCUAUGAAGCAACUUUCAGACAUUCAGAACCAAGACAAAAAAAAAGAGAAUUAAAGUAAAAUAUGAUGUACCCAGGAGUUACAUCAGUGAACCAAAUACAGCCUCAAAUUUCGAUCUGUGCUUCACAGCAGCCAGCAAAAAGAACAAAACAUAUUUUGUUAGUUCAUAUAAAUAAAUAAAUUAAAAAUGCAUGAAUAAAUAAAUAAAGCAAACCAGUUUCUCGAUUCUGAAAUAUUUUCUGGAAGUGAGAACUGAAAGGAAUUUCCACCAUGGACCCACAAGCAGUUGUUGGUGGCAUAUAUAAUGAGUGCUGGGUGUUAAGGAAGCAAUGGUGAAGGAGAGACACCCUCCCGACCCUCAUGGUGCUUGCAGCCUAGUGGAGCUAUGAAAAGAUAGGCAAGUGAGUCCUAUGAUUGGAGAAGUAAUGAGAAGUAAUGAGAAGCGUCUUCUAAGCAUAGGGGUAAAGACUGCAAAGACCCUGAAGGGAGAAAGUAAUGGCCAUUCUGAGAACUGAAAGUUUGCACAGUGCACAGAGGGCAUGAAGAACGAAGGAAAGAGAUUUUUUUUUUUUUUUUUUUGCCCAAGAUGGCAAGUUGCUUAAAACCUAAAGCUCCUUUCAAUUCUUUACAAUCCAAGAUUAUAUGGAAUGGACUGGGAACAAAGAGAGGGACUGGCAUUUAAAGUCUUUUAUACACUUUGGAACAAAUGUUAUUCUCCAUUCAUCCUGACACUAAAUUGGUUAGCCAAACCCAAAGAUCUACUAAUAAUCCUGCUUUGGCAUGGGAGAAUGAGUGAGAUAAGGAGGCAAUAGAGGAGAUGAAUCGACAAAUGGAAGGAAUAGAAUUCUGGUUGAUGUCCUUGUCUCUAAGCUGUAGCAGCAAGUAUUUAUCCUAAUCAUGUGGUGUUAGCACGGAGAUGAGAAAGAGAGAAAGACAACAUCAUGCUUUGCUGUCUGUGUGUGAACUGAGUAACAGCUGUGAAGGAUCAGUCACCAAAAGACUUUGAAAGAAGAGGCUUGAUUGGUCACGGUAAUGAUGCUCCCCUGGCCAUGGAAGUUUAAUUGGGAGAAAAGAACAUCUGCUUAUACGAAAACAUAUUAUAUUCAGCCAUCCCUGCCCUGACUUUGGCCUUUAAAAACAGUGGCAUUAAUUAUCUCAACAAAUGAAUCUUCGGGAUAAAAAUAAUCUAAAUAUUAUUUUACGCUUACUACAUAUUUGCAACGUGCUAAGCUCUUUAUGGUUGCUACCACAAAAAACAUUUAUAAUAUGAGGUGGGUAUUUUUAUUAUAUACAUUUUCAGUUUAAAGACAGUAACUUCAGAAUGUAACUUGUCCUAGUCACACAAAAGCAGGUGUGGACUAAAACUCAAACCCAUGAUUCUUUCACUUUAAAUGAUAUGGUUCUGAACCAUUAAAUUCGAAUGCUACUAAGAAUGGUGAAUGCUAAGCAAUGUUAAGCUACACAUUGUUAUUAUUAACAAAUAAUUUCAAAAGGGCAGGAGAGGUAGGUUAAAAAUUAAAGGGUUAAGCUGGAAUAACAUGUCAAAUUUCUCAGAGUUUUUUAUUUUCAUGAAAAAAUAUAUUUUAUAUUGCAACAGAAUGAACUUGACUUAACAGUUUAGGUAGCUGAUUGCAUAUAUUUUGAUAGUCCUAUCAUAUUUCCAACAAAUACAUUUUCUCCCCACCCCACCUGCAACUGGAGACUUCACAAGGUUAGGAACAGGCUUCACUUCAUUGUGAUGUGUGUAAGGUGACAGAGGACAUAUAACGAAUACGUGGAAGAACUAGGAAUUUGACCUUAGCUUCCAGACAUUUUGAGGAGGAUACACUAUGUCCAUCUUGCUUUCCUAUCAAGAAAAGUAUACCCAGUUUGUGCAGUAGCCCUGUACCAACAGAUACAUUACAGCAGGUUGUUUCCGUAUUUUGGCUAUUGUGAAUAGUGCUGCAAUAAACAUGGAAGUGCUGAUAUAUCUUUGAGAUCUUGACUUCAAACAAAAGAAGAAAAUCUUGCAAUAUAUGACAACACGGAUUAACCUGGAGGACAUUGUGCUUAGUGAAGUUAGCCAGUCACAGACUGACAAGUACUGCACGAUUCCACUUAUGAAGACUACAGUUCCUAUCUUCACAGGUGGCUGUUAGCUCUAAAUGAACUCAUUUAUUUUGAAAGCAUGAUUUAAAGUAUAGUUUUAAACUAUAAGCAUUUCAGAAGUGAUGACCCAUGACUCAAAUCUCAAAAAUAAAUGCUACAGUUCACAGUUGGAAUAUGGACACAAGAAAAAUAAUAGGCUUUGGCCAAAAAAGAGUGCAGUUCUGUGAUGAAUAUCAGCUUCAUCAACAUGCCCCAGGCACCGUGAUGUCCCUCCUCUGCUCUGCUGCAUAACAGGGUGGAGACCAAAUCCAACAGUAUGAACAAGCAUCCAUCAAAACCACAGUUCUAUUAUUGAGACCAUUUCUGAUUGAAUUUCCUCAGCAGACUAUCCAAGUCGUCAUGUUCAUCAAGGUAUUCAAUUUAAAUGACCAUUAAAACGAAAUUAAGUUGGUAUUAACCUUGUCUUUUCAGAUGAUGCCACUGAAAGGUAAACAUACCAUUCUGACAUGCAUGAAAAUGAAACGACAAAUUGAUACACGCAGUGCUUGGAAUGGAUGGAGUCCUUCUAAUGAGUGAUUACCUGUGGUAUAACUAUAUUGAUUGUGUUUGUACAUGUCAAAUGGGGCUGGCGAGGAUGAACUUGAAGAAAUCAAUCUUGGAACCUGCUAGGACAGCAGCCUCCUGGUUUCACAGUACUAAAUCAUGACUUCAAAAUUUUGAAGUAAAAGAAAACUGCAAAACUUUGUAAAGGUACCAGUCUCUUCCUGACACUAUUUGCCUUGGCAAAAGAUUCACUGUCAACUUAAAAGACUAACAUGUGCUCAGAUGAUGAUUUGUGGAGGACAGAUAAUUAUGAGUACAUUUAGAAAUACACACUCUUCCAAACCCUGCUCUUUCCAUAUAAUGAAGUUAUUUAUUUCUAUUUUUUAUUUAUUUUUCUAAUAAUUACAAACAUACUUUGGAGACCCACAUUCCUGUAUUAUUCUUUCAACAUACUGAAGAAGAGUUAUUUCUAUGCUUCUUUCUAUGUGUUGGGCUUAAGAUUUAUUAGAAGGAAUGUGUAAAAACAAAGGCAGCAAAGUUUCUAUUUUUAUUGGGAGUCACUCCCGGAGUAAGUGGGGAUAGUUGUGCACACACACACACACACAUUCAUGCACAAAGAAAGAGUGAUCAAGUGUAUAACACACUUUUAGCAGUGUUUUGCUGGAAGAAUAAAGUAUAACUCCUUGUCCGCCCUUUUAUUAUACUGGGGUUCACACUAAGAGAGUCUGAGGACCUGUGGAACUCCCAUUUGCAUGAAAUAACUUUUGCAUCUAUUCUGGAGGAAAACUUCCUAAGGCAGAUUUGGACAGAAAAUUGCUAUCAGCGCAAAUAAAACAAUGCAAAGCCUACUCCGGGGAACGUUGCUCUGCCACCACUACUGAAAUGGGUCAUCCCCUUGGUUUCUGAAUAAAGAAUUAUGAAACCUGGGGCUAGAAUGCUCAGGGAGGAAUUUACCAAUCCAAAUCUUCCCCUUAUGGUAGAGAACAAACUUUCAAGGUUUGUUCUCCACUGUAAGUGUGCGAGGGCUGUUAGGGACCGUAAUAUGGCUGCCGGAGACUGGUGUGUGUACCUCCUUGACUGUACGUCUCAUUUCCAGUUAUGAUUUUACAAUCAUCUCUUUCUCAACCUUUGCUUUUAAAUAUAGGAAGGUACGGCUCACCAUGGAGCGGACAUUUUCUUCAGGAGCGGUACGGUGUCUAAGAUAUGCAGAGGUUGUAUUCUAGUCCUAUAACUCAAUUCUCAAACACAUGGCUUUUAGCCAGGGAUAUCCUAAAGGAAAAUUACACUAUAUGCAACCCCUCCUUACUCCUCAAAUAUUAUCUAUAUUAAACACAGCUGAAAUUUGAGAGUGUCCUUACAGGUGAAAAUUUAACAAUUUAACAAAAGGACACUGCUGAAUGUGUGGGGACAAAGGAAGGAUGAAUCUUUCAUCAUGACAAAAGACUACUUGCCACAUUCUCCCUUAACUUAGAAAAACAGAAAAGAGGCUGGGCGUGGUGGCUCCUGCCUGUAACCUCAGCACUUUGGGAG